CCUACGGGUGGCAGCAGUGGGGAAUAUUGCGCAAUGGGCGAAAGCCUGACGCAGCGACGCCGCGUGAGGGAUGAAGGUCUUCGGAUCGUAAACCUCUGUCAGCCGGGAAGCACGGUCACUGUGCUAAUCAGCAGUGAAUUGACGGUACCUGCAAAGGAAGCCCCGGCUAACUCCGUGCCAGCAGCCGCGGUAAUACGGAGGGUGCGAGCAUUAAUCGGAAUUACUGGGGGUAAAGGGCUCGUAGGCGGUAUGUCAAGUCAAGGGGGAAAUUCCCGCGGUUAACGCGGGAACUGCCUUUGAAACUGGCAAACUGGAGUGUGUGAGAGGAUAGUGGAAUUCCAGGUGUAGCAGUGAAAUCCGUAGAUAUCAGGAGGAACAUCAGUGGCGAAGGCGACUAUCUGGCACAUAACUGACGCUGAGGAGCGAAAGCGUGGGUAGCAAACAGGAUUAGAUACCCCUGUAGUC
rnacentral:rRNA from 1 species